GAUUAUCCACAUGACAGAUACAAAAAAAAUCUUCUCACUUCCAAUAAGAAAUGGGAACGUGCCUACCAAUGAGUGCAAUCCUUCUAUAAACAACUGGCCAAGAAAAAACAAAAAAAAAAAGAUCUCUCUUCUCUCUACACGCCACCUAUCACCUCACUCAUCCCCUCAUUUAAUACCCUUACACGCUUCCCUCUCUCUAUUGACACACAAACCACUCACAUAUACCUUCACUCUCUCUUAUCUCUCACCACUCAUUCCCAUUAUUAAGCAAAAAAAAGAAAGGAAAGAAAAAAGAGAAAAAUAAAAGAUGAACUGUUCAUCUUCCUAAACUCCACCAUUCACCCGCCGACGACUCCACCCUCCGCCAAAAAACAAUCCACACGCCGCGACCACCACUGCGACCAUCACCGCGACCCCUUCUUCCCUCAAUCGCACCGUCGCAAUCUCACACCGCUGCUUCACUCUUCGUCACCUUCGAACCCCCGCUUCUCCGGCCACGAACUGACACCACCAUCACAACCACACACCAGAAACCUCCACCCUCCGGCGAUUCCCCUUCUCUCCUUCCAAGCCUCACCCACACGACAACCUUCCACACGCCGCCACACAACACCAAAUUGGCGUCGCGAGAACCUCCG
rnacentral:lncRNA from 1 species